rnacentral:rRNA from 1 species
ACGGAAGCAGCAGUGAGGAAUAUUGGACAAUGGAUGGAAAUCUGAUCCAGCCAUGCCGCGUGAAGGAUAAGGUCCUAUGGAUUGUAAACUUCUUUUGUACGGGAGCAAUAAGGCGUAUGCAUACGCUGAUGAGAGUACCGUACGAAUAAGCAUCGGCUAACUCCGUGCCAGCAGCCGCGGUAAUACGGAGGAUGCGAGCGUUAUCCGGAUUUAUUGGGUUUAAAGGGUGCGUAGGCGGAACGCCAAGUCAGCGGUGAAACGCAGGGGCUCAACCCCUGACCUGCCGUUGAAACUGGCGAUCUGGAAUGCGGAUGCUGUGGGAGGAAUGUGUGGUGUAGCGGUGAAAUGCAUAGAUAUCACACAGAACACCGAUUGCGAAGGCAUCUCACAAAUCCGUUAUUGACGCUGAGGCACGAAAGUGUGGGGAUCAAACAGGAUUAGAUACCCUGGUA